rnacentral:tRNA from 1 species
UCCCUGAUGGCCUAGUGGUCAGGAUUCAGGCUUUCCCUGCCAUGACUCUGGUUCAAUUCCUGGUCAGGGAA